ensembl:lncRNA
AUUGCAAGUCCCGCGCUCUGUCUCCAGGGGGCGCUGCUGAGGCGUCCCACUUAAGACACUCCAAUGAGAAUCCUCCUUGCUGGCAUUGGUGAAACAAGUAUGAUAUUGGGGAAAUCUGCGAGACAAGAAACUGUCAGCCCAGAAAGACAGAUGAGGGCUAACGCCUGCCAACAACCCCCAGAUGCUUGGAAGUGGAUCAACCCUAGUAGAGUCUUCACAUGAGAAACCAGUCUUGGCUGAUACCUUGACAGCCCACUGCAAGGACCCAGCUAAGCUGUGCCUGGAUCUUCAUCCACAGAUACUGUGAGAUAACAAAUGUGUGCCAUUUUCAGCCACUAAGUAUGUAGUAAUAUUGUUAGAUAGAAAACGGUAACUAACACAGCAUCCCAGUGUACAUGGCUAGAUCCUUGUCCCAAACCCAACCUAGGUGCCUCUGGAAGGAGGGAGGUUGUUGAAUUAAGAAAUGAAUGAGAAAUGGAUUGGAGACCCUCUGGGAGACAGAUGGCUACAGUCUGCCCUAGGGUGUGUGUGCGGUGUGUUUAGAUGGGGAUGCAAUGGUAGCAGUGAUGAAAAGCUCCAGAUGCCACGAGGGGACUCAGGGAUGUGCUCUGGGAGUGGGGGUGCUUUUUGAUGUCUUGUGUGCUCCUUUCUACUCUCUCUGACAUCACUCUGGGGAAAUCUUUGUCCGCUCCCCAUAGCACAGGGUAACCUUAUAGCUGGGCUAGGAGAGGAGUAGAUACUAACAGAUACAAG